UCAUGAAUAGUUGAAUGGGAUGGAAUAAAAGCCUGCACACCAGCUACUCCACAGCCUGUCUAUAAUGUAGAUAGCUAUGAUUGUAACAGCCUUUUGGUAGCUCUCCAAGAAUGGAGUUGGAGACAUGUCCAUAAGGAGUAAGAGAAGCGAGAAAUUAAUAGAACUCACCUUCAGUAUGGGUGUUCUCUCCUCCUGGAACAAAUCCUCAUCUUCAAACAAGCCGUCCGGCUUCACAGAAUCCGAAGAGUCGGCGUCGUCAUCAUCAGUGUAAAUGAAGACUUUCUUCUUCGCUGGGCUGUUGAAGGUGUUCUCGAUGCUAGCAAAUGGGUCUCACCGCUUCACUCCCCCUCCAGAGCGACCCUGGUCGAACAGCGGAUAUAGAGGCACCCUCACACGGGCUGGAAAUCGCGCCUCGGCCGCCAGAACUGACACCCUCGCUGCGGGCUCUCUUCCUCCGCAUUCGCAGGAUUUCAGCUGGUCUUUUGAAACUAGUUGAAUAACCAGCUUGUUGUGACAUUUUGUAAGGAUAAUGGG